UUCCGGUUGAUCCUGCCGGACCCCACUGCUAUCGGGGUGGGACUAAAACAUGCGAGUCGAGCGUCUUCAAGCUAUGGUGAAGGCGCGGCGAAUGGCUCAGUAACACGUGGCUAACCUACCCUUUGGACGGGGACAACCACGGGAAACUGUGGCUAAUCCCCGAUAGAUGAGGAGGCCUGGAAUGGUUUCUCAUCUAAAAGGUGUUUAGACCAUGCUUCUAGACGCCGCCAAAGGAUGGGGCCGCGGCCGAUCAGGUUGCUGGUGAGGUAACGGCUCACCAAGCCUAUAACCGGUACGGGCCGUGAGAGCGGGAGCCCGGAGAUGGGCACUGAGACAAGGGCCCAGGCCCUACGGGGCGCAGCAGUUGCGAAAACUCCGCAAUACGCGAAAGCGUGACGGGGCUACCCCGAGUGCCGUCCGCUGAGGAUGGCUUUUCCACGGUGUAAGGAGCCGUGGGAAUAAGGAGAGGGCAAGACUGGUGUCAGCCGCCGCGGUAAUACCAGCUCUCCGAGUGGUGGGGACGAUUAUUGGGCUUAAAGCGUUCGUAGCCGGCUCAGCAAGUCUUCCGUUAAAUCCAACGAUCUAAUCGUUGGGCUGCGGGAGAUACUGUUGGGCUAGGGGGCGGGAGAAGCCGACGGUAUCCUCGGGGUAGGGGUGAAAUCCUAUAAUCCCGGGAAGACCACCAGUGGCGAAGGCGGUCGGCUAGAACGCGCUCGACGGUGAGGGACGAAAGCUGGGGGAGCGAACCGGAUUAGAUACCCGGGUAGUCCCAGCUGUAAACGAUGCGGGCUAGGUGUUGGAGCGGUCACGAACCGCCUCAGUGCCGCACGGAAGCAAUUAAGCCCGCCGCCUGGGGGAGUACGGUCGCAAGGCUGAAACUUAAAGGAAUUGGCGGGGGGAGCACCACAGGCGUGAAGCUUGCGGUUUAUUGGAGUCAACGCCGGGA
rnacentral:rRNA from 1 species